AAUAGAUACCCUGGUAGUCCAUGCCGUAAACGUUGGGCGCUAGGUGUGGGACCCAUUCCACGGGUUCCGUGCCGCAGCUAACGCAUUAAGCGCCCCGCCUGGGGAGUACGGCCGCAAGGCUAAAACUCAAAGGAAUUGACGGGGGCCCGCACAAGCGGCGGAGCAUGCGGAUUAAUUCGAUGCAACGCGAAGAACCUUACCAAGGCUUGACAGUACACCGGGAAUCACUCAGAGAUGGGUGCGUCUUCGGACUGGUGUACAGGUGGUGCAUGGUUGUCGUCAGCUCGUGUCGUGAGAUGUUGGGUUAAGUCCCGCAACGAGCGCAACCCUCGUUCUAUGUUGCCAGCACGUGAUGGUGGGGACUCAUAGGAGACUGCCGGGGUCAACUCGGAGGAAGGUGGGGAUGACGUCAAAUCAUCAUGCCCCUUAUGUCUUGGGCUUCACGCAUGCUACAAUGGCCGGUACAAAGGGCUGCGAAACCGUAAGGUGGAGCGAAUCCCAAAAACCGGUCUCAGUUCGGAUUGGGGUCUGCAACUCCG
rnacentral:rRNA from 1 species